UUGUAGCAAAGUGGGCUUUGACGUUCCUUUUUCAUUUGCGGUGCGUGCGUCAUCACGUCACACCGACCUAUCAGCUGAUCUCACAGCUGAUUUCAUUCCAGCUGAGACGCCGGCUUUUCACAAGCUAGGAGGAAUAGCUGUCGGUCAACGUGCUUUCCUUUGUCCAUCCAAACGUGCAUUCUGGUCUACUCCUUGCACUCCGAUCUGUUGCCAAAUUCAACUUGGCGUGACACGCUCUCCGCCUCGUACAAGUGUAUCUACCGGUGCCAUCAGCUGUUUGUUGGCUACCCUGUUCAUCUACCAAAGCUCCGAGAGCUCUCUCCUUCUGGCUCAGGUAGGCCACCCAAAUGACGCCACACGUUCGCAAAAGUUUUGAUUUGUUUGACUCGGGUCUAACCGAUGAUGUAUUUUGUUGUAGCGUGGGUUUGAGUUUCCUCUGACUCGUCGGCCUUUAUUGUCUCCCUCCUCGCCUCCUCUGCUGUUGUGGAACGCGCCUGGGUGUAGCUGCAGACUCCCGGUUCGCUCUGAAUUGCUGCUGUUUUGUCCCCCCUCGAUACGUGCUUCGGACUGACGCGUCGCAGUGUCCGGUCAUCCGAGGGCUAUUACUCCGAAAGCAUUCAGCAGCCCAGCAUAAGUUACCUUGCGCAGGUGGCGCAUGUGGCCGAGUUCAGUGUGUGCGUGAAUGUAGUCUGUGUGCAGGUAAUCCCAGAGGGAGGUCCUCUUCCCCCCUGGUGGUGGGUCCGGUCACGUGGUGUGCAGUGAAUUGCAGUGCAGUGCAGUGUUACCUGUGUGUGAGUGCAAUAAUUCACCUUCACUUAGUGUGUGCAUGGGCACGAGUGUUUGUGUGUACUUAUCCAAGGCCUAUACAGGGGGCUUAGUAUAA